rnacentral:rRNA from 1 species
CCUACGGGCGGCAGCAGUGGGGGAUAUUGCACAAUGGGGGGAACCCUGAUGCAGCGACGCCGCGUGGGUGAAGGAGCGUUUCGGCGCGUAAAGCCCUAUCGGCAGGGAAGAAGGAGGACGGUACCUGACUAAGAAGCCCCGGCUAACUACGUGCCAGCAGCCGCGGUAAUACGUAGGGGGCAAGCCUUAUCCGGAUUUAUUGGGUUGAAAGGGUGGGUAGGGUGGGAGGUAAGUCAGCGGGGAAAUGCCACGGGCCAACGGGGUGAAGUGCCAUUGAUACUGGCUGGCUGGAGUGCGGAUGCGGUGGGAGGAAUGUGUGGUGUAGCGGUGAAAUGCAUAGAUAUCACACAGAACACCGAUUGCGAAGGCAUCUCACGAAACCGCGAUUGACGCUGAUGCACGAAAGCGUGGGUAGCAAACAGGAUUAGAUACCCGAGUAGUC